UGGGGAAUAUUGGACAAUGGGGGCAACCCUGAUCCAGCAAUGCCGCGUGUGUGAAGAAGGUUUUCGGAUUGUAAAGCACUUUCGGCGGGGACGAUGAUGACGGUACCCGCAGAAGAAGCCCCGGCUAACUUCGUGCCAGCAGCCGCGGUAAUACGAAGGGGGCUAGCGUUGCUCGGAAUGACUGGGCGUAAAGGGCGUGUAGGCGGUUUGUACAGUCAGAUGUGAAAUCCCCGGGCUUAACCUGGGAGCUGCAUUUGAUACGUGCAAACUAGAGUGUGAGAGAGGGUUGUGGAAUUCCCAGUGUAGAGGUGAAAUUCGUAGAUAUUGGGAAGAACACCGGUGGCGAAGGCGGCAACCUGGCUUCAUUAACUGACGCUGAGGCGCGAAAGCGUGGGGAGCAAAACA
rnacentral:rRNA from 1 species